GACGAACGCUGGCGGCGCGCUUAACACAUGCAAGUCGAGCGAGAACCGGUCCUUCGGGACCGGGGAAAGCGGCGAACGGGUGAGUAACACGUGAGUAAUCCACCCUCGGCACCGGGAUAGCCCGGGGAAACCCGGAUUAAUACCGGAUGGCCCAACAGCUCUUCGGAGCGGUUGGAAAAGGUAGCUUUGGCCUCCGGCCGAGGACGAGCUCGCGGCGGAUUAGCUUGUUGGUGGGGUAACGGCCUACCAAGGCGACGAUCCGUAGCUGGUCUGAGAGGACGAUCAGCCACACUGGGACUGAGACACGGCCCAGACUCCUACGGGAGGCAGCAGUGGGGAAUCUUGCGCAAUGGGCGAAAGCCUGACGCAGCGACGCCGCGUGAGGGAAGAAGGCUUUCGGGUUGUAAACCUCUUUCAGGAGGGACGAAGCUACUCGGGUUAAUAGCCCAGAGGGUGACGGUACCUUCAGAAGAAGCCCCGGCUAACUACGUGCCAGCAGCCGCGGUAAUACGUAGGGGGCAAGCGUUGUCCGGAUUUAUUGGGCGUAAAGAGCGUGUAGGCGGCCAGAUAGGUCUGUUGUGAAAACUCGAGGCUCAACCUCGAGACGCCGAUGGAAACCAUUUGGCUAGAGUCCGGAAGAGGAGAGUGGAAUUCCUGGUGUAGCGGUGAAAUGCGCAGAUAUCAGGAAGAACACCCGUGGCUAAGGCGGCUCUCUAGUACGGUACUGACGCUGAGACGCGAAAGCGUGGGGAGCGAACAGGAUUAGAUACCCUGGUAGUCCACGCCGUAAACGAUGGGUGCUAGGUGUGGGGGGGUGUCGACUCCCUUCCGUGCCGAAGCUAACGCAUUAAGCACCCCGCCUGGGGAGUACGGCCGCAAGGCUAAACUCAAGGAAUUGACGGGGGCCCGCACAAGCAGCGGAGCAUGUGGUUUAAUUCGACGCAACGCGAAAAACCUUACAGGACUUGACAUCGAU
rnacentral:rRNA from 1 species